UACGGAGGGUGCAAACGUUGCUCGGAAUUAUUGGGCGUAAAGCGCACGUAGGCGGUCUGUCGCGUCGGCUGUGAAAACUCGGGGCUCAACCCCGAGCCUGCAGUCGAUACGGGCAGACUAGAGUGCUGUAGGGGAGACUGGAAUUCCUGGUGUAGCGGUGAAAUGCGCAGAUAUCAGGAGGAACACCGGUGGCGAAGGCGGGUCUCUGGGCAGUAACUGACGCUGAGGAGCGAAAGCGUGGGGAGCGAACAGG
rnacentral:rRNA from 1 species